GGAAUUUUCCGCAAUGGGCGAAAGCCUGACGGAGCAACGCCGCGUGAGGGAUGAAGGCCUCUGGGCUGUAAACCUCUUUUCUCAAGGAAGAAGAACUGACGGUACUUGAGGAAUAAGCCACGGCUAAUUCCGUGCCAGCAGCCGCGGUAAUACGGGAGUGGCAAGCGUUAUCCGGAAUUAUUGGGCGUAAAGCGUCCGCAGGCGGCCUCGUAAGUCUGUCGUUAAAGCGUGGAGCUUAACUCCAUUUAAGCGAUGGAAACUGUGAGGCUUGAGUGUGGUAGGGGCAGAGGGAAUUCCCGGUGUAGCGGUGAAAUGCGUAGAUAUCGGGAAGAACACCAGUGGCGAAGGCGCUCUGCUGGGCCAUAACUGACGCUCAUGGACGAAAGCCAGGGGAGCGAAAGGGAUUAGAUACCCCUGUAGUCCUGGCCGUAAACGAUGAACACUAGGUGUCGGGGGAAUCGACCCCCUCGGUGUCGUAGCCAACGCGUUAAGUGCUCCGCCUGGGGAGUACGCACGCAAGUGUGAAACUCAAAGGAAUUGACGG
rnacentral:rRNA from 1 species